rnacentral:rRNA from 1 species
UACGUAGGGUCCGAGCGUUGUCCGGAAUUACUGGGCGUAAAGCGUGCGUAGACGGUCAUGUAAGUCGGAUGUGAAAGCCCCGGGCUCAACCUGGGAAUUGCAUUCGAGACUGCAUGGCUUGGGUGCGGAAGAGGGAAGCGGAAUUUCCGGUGUAGCGGUGAAAUGCGUAGAUAUCGGAAGGAACACCAGUGGCGAAAGCGGCUUCCUGGUCCGACACCGACGUUCAGGCACGAAAGCGUGGGGAGCAAACAGG